AAGGAUCAUUCAUAAUAAGUGUUUUAUGGCACUUUUUAAAUCCAUAUCCACCUUGUGUGCAAUGUCAGUCGGUCUUCUUUUUUCGUCAAGAAAAAAAGGAUCGACCAAACAUCAACUUAUUCUAAUUGAACUUUUGUCUGAAAACUAUUAUGAAUAAACUAAUUCAAAAUACAACUUUCAACAACGGAUCUCUUGGCUCUC
rnacentral:misc_RNA from 1 species